CUUGUUCACUUUACUCCUCGUCUAUGACUAUGAUCUCCACUUCAUGCUUCAUCUUUUUUUGAUCAUGUGGCCACCUUUCCAUGCCACCUUGCACCUUAAUCACAAGUGUUGCUAUGCCUAACUCAAAUCACUUAAACACAAGGCAUUAGCAACUUGGUGUCAUUAAUUACCAAAAUCAAACUUGAGCUUUCACCGCGUCGGGAGCCGCCAUGGUGGAGAUGGAAGGUCCGAGGGACGACCUCUUUGGGUGGGCCAGUGACGCUGGAAUAGGAUGGGAAGGAAAUCGAUGGAAAGAGACGAAGCGACAGAAAGGUGAGGCAACCACGACGUCUUCCUCUUCCUCUCCUCCGGCUGCGACUCCGCUCGGAGGCUGGCUCGGGCGGCGGCAUGCUCCUCUCGUCCGUAGUCUCCCUCCCGGACCCAUGUGGC
rnacentral:lncRNA from 1 species